AUGGAAAGAGUGAUUGCGCUGGUUUGGAAGAGCAGUGGAGGGUGGCGUGCGAAUGAUAGCAGGUUAGGAAUGAAGAGGCUUGCAGUUUAUUUUUUUUUACAGUUCAAGCUAUUCAAUAACAACAAUGAAAUAGAAACCCCAGUUGCUUCACUUGACUUGACAGGUUUUUGGCAUCUUGCAGCAGGGUUGAUUUGGACCUCAAAGAUAGGGACAAAGCAAGAUUUCAGAGCAGCAAAUAGCAGUAGUUUGGACUUGUGUGGACAGCAAUAA
rnacentral:lncRNA from 1 species